rnacentral:rRNA from 1 species
CCUACGGGAGGCAGCAGUGAGGAAUAUUGGUCAAUGGACGCAAGUCUGAACCAGCCAUGCCGCGUGCAGGAAGACGGCUCUAUGAGUUGUAAACUGCUUUUGUACGAGGGUAAACGCAGAUACGCGUAUCUGUCUGAAAGUAUCGUACGAAUAAGGAUCGGCGAACUCCGUGCCAGCCGCCGCGGGAAUACGGAGGAUUCAAGCGAUACCCGGAUUUAUUGGGUUUAAAGGGAGCGUAGGCGGUCGGAUAAGUUAGAGGUGAAAUCCCGAGGCUCAACUUCGGAAUUGCCUUUGAUACUGUUCGGCUAGAGAGUAGUUGCGGUAGGCGGAAUGUAUGGUGUAGCGGUGAAAUGCUUAGAGAUCAUACAGAACACCGAUGGCGAAGGCAGCUUACCAAGCUACUUCUGACGUUGAGGCACGAAAGCGUGGGGAGCAAACAGGAUUAGAUACCCUAGUAGUC